AGAGUUUGAUUAUGGCUCAGGAUGAACGCUGGCGGCGUGCUUAACACAUGCAAGUCGAACGGAGUUUAGAUGAAAGCUUGCUUUGACUAAACUUAGUGGCGGACGGGUGAGUAACGCGUGGGUAACCUGCCUUAUACAGGGGGAUAACAGUCGGAAACGACUGCUAAUACCGCAUAAGCGCACGGAAUCGCAUGAUUCAGUGUGAAAAAGAUUUAUCGGUAUAAGAUGGACCCGCGUCUGAUUAGCUGGUUGGUGAGGUAACGGCUCACCAAGGCGACGAUCAGUAGCCGGCCUGAGAGGGUGAACGGCCACAUUGGGACUGAGACACGGCCCAAACUCCUACGGGAGGCAGCAGUGGGGAAUAUUGCACAAUGGGGGAAACCCUGAUGCAGCGACGCCGCGUGAGUGAAGAAGUAUUUCGGUAUGUAAAGCUCUAUCAGCAGGGAAGAAAAUGACGGUACCUGACUAAGAAGCCCCGGCUAACUACGUGCCAGCCGCCGC
rnacentral:rRNA from 1 species